rnacentral:rRNA from 1 species
UACGAAGGGGGCUAGCGUUGCUCGGAAUCACUGGGCGUAAAGCGCACGUAGGCGGCUUUUUAAGUCAGGGGUGAAAUCCUGGAGCUCAACUCCAGAACUGCCUUUGAUACUGAGGAUCUUGAGUUCGGGAGAGGUGAGUGGAACUGCGAGUGUAGAGGUGAAAUUCGUAGAUAUUCGCAAGAACACCAGUGGCGAAGGCGGCUCACUGGCCCGAUACUGACGCUGAGGCACGAAAGCGUGGGGAGCAAACAGGG